rnacentral:sRNA from 1 species
GGGCUCCAAGCGGGCAGUAACUAACCAUAGCGUCUACUGCUCCACCAAGGGUGCCCUGGACAUGCUAACCAAGAUCCGAGUGAAUGCAGUAAACCCCA